rnacentral:pre_miRNA from 1 species
CAUGCUUCUUUAUAGUGCCAUAUAGCAAGAGAACUUAUGGAAUGUAAAGAAGUAUGCA